rnacentral:rRNA from 1 species
GACGAACGCUGGCGGCGUGCUUAACACAUGCAAGUCGAACGGUGAAGGGACCGGUUUUUGCUGGUUCUGGAUGAGUGGCGCACGGGUGAGUAACACGUGAGUAACCUGCCCCCUUCUUCUGGAUAACCGCAUGAAAGUGUGUCUAAUACGGGAUAUUCUGCGCCUGCUGCAUGGUGGGUGUGGGGACGAUAUUGUUUCGGUGUGGGGUGGGCUCGCGGCCUCGCAGCUUGGUGGUGGAGUGAUGGCCUAACCAGGCGAUGACGGGUAGCCGGACGGGGAGGGUCGGCGGCCACAGUGGGACGACGAGGCCGACAAGACUACUACGGGAAGCAGCAGUGGAGAAUAUGGCACAGGGGAAAGACGGCUGAUGCAGCGACGCCGCAUGAGUGAUGGACGCCGUCGCGUUGUAAACCUCUUUCGCGAGUGAAGCAGGGCUGUCGCUUUUGUGCGUGGGUUGACGGUAGCUGGACAAGAAGCGCCGGCUAACUACGUG